rnacentral:rRNA from 1 species
AUUGAACGCUGGCGGCAGGCUUAACACAUGCAAGUCGAGCGGGGGAAGGUAGCUUGCUACUGGACCUAGCGGCGGACGGGUGAGUAAUGCUUAGGAAUCUGCCUAUUAGUGGGGGACAACAUCUCGAAAGGGAUGCCAAUACCGCAUACGUCCUACGGGAGAAAGCAGGGGAUCUUCGGACCUUGCGCUAAUAGAUGAGCCUAAGUCGGAUUAGCUAGUUGGUGGGGUAAAGGCCUACCAAGGCGACGAUCUGUAGCGGGUCUGAGAGGAUGAUCCGCCUCACUGGGACUGAGACACGGCCCAGACUCCUACGGGAGGCAGCAGUGGGGAAUAUUGGACAAUGGGGGGAACCCUGAUCCAGCCAUGCCGCGUGUGUGAAGAAGGCCUUAUGGUUGUAAAGCACUUUAAGCGAGGAGGAGGCUACUUUAGUUAAUACCUAGAGAUAGUGGACGUUACUCGCAGAAUAAGCACCGGCUAACUCUGUGCCAGCCGCCGCCGUAA